rnacentral:tRNA from 1 species
GGACCCGUAGCUCAGUGGUAGAGCGCUUCGUUCACAUCGAAGAGGCCAAUGGUUCGAUCCCAUUCGGGUCCACCA